rnacentral:rRNA from 1 species
UACGAAGGGGGCUAGCGUUGCUCGGAAUCACUGGGCGUAAAGGGCGCGUAGGCGGCCAUUCAAGUCGGGGGUGAAAGCCCAGGGCUCAACCCUGGAAUUGCCUUCGAUACUGUUUGGCUAGAGACCGGAAGAGGUUAGUGGAACUGCGAGUGUAGAGGUGAAAUUCGUAGAUAUUCGCAAGAACACCAGUGGCGAAGGCGGCUAACUGGUCCGGCAUUGACGCUGAGGCGCGAAAGCCAGGGGAGCAAACGGG